UCCGAUAUGGUGUAGUGGCUAACAUUAUCGCCUCUCAUAAUCCAUGUUGCCUGUGUCUGCGACUGUAUGAGUAUUGCGCGAUAGCCCGGGUUCGAUUCCCCGUGUCGGAA